rnacentral:rRNA from 1 species
GAUGAACGCUAGCGGCAGGCCUAAUACAUGCAAGUCGUACGGCAACACAGUUGCGAGCAAUCGCAACCGGUGGCGAGUGGCGCACGGGUGAGUAACGCGUAUGUAACCUACCCUUCUCCGGGACAUAACUCCGCGAAAGCGGUGCUAAUAUCCCAUACCAACUCAUCAAGACAUCUUCUUGAGUUGAAAGCAGCAAUGCGGUGAAGGAUGGGCAUGCGUCCCAUUAGCUGGUUGGUGAGGUAAUGGCCCACCAAGGCUACGAUGGGUAGGGGUUCUGAGAGGAAAGCCCCCCACACUGGUACUGAGACACGGACCAGACUCCUACGGGAGGCAGCAGUGAGGAAUCUUGGUCAAUGGACGGAAGUCUGAACCAGCCAUGUCGCGUGAAGGAGGACGGCCCUAAGGGUUGUAAACUUCUUUUGCAGCGGGAUAAAGUAUUCCACGAGAUGGGGAUAUUGCAAGUACGCUGCGAAUAAGGAUCGGCUAACUCCG